UUAAAUUGAAGAGUUUGAUCAUGGCUCAGAUUGAACGCUGGCGGCAGGCCUAACACAUGCAAGUCGAACGGUAACAGGAAGCAGCUUGCUGUUUCGCUGACGAGUGGCGGACGGGUGAGUAAUGUCUGGGAAACUG
rnacentral:rRNA from 1 species